rnacentral:rRNA from 1 species
UAAUACGUAGGGGGCAAGCGUUGUCCGGAAUUAUUGGGCGUAAAGAGCGUGUAGGCGGUAAAUUAAGUUGGAUGUAAAAGGCAUGGGCUCAACCUGUGUAAGCAUCCAAAACUGAUAUACUUGAGUGCAGGAGAGGAAAGUGGAAUUCCCGGUGUAGCGGUGGAAUGCGUAGAGAUCGGGAGGAACACCAGUGGCGAAGGCGACUUUCUGGCCUGUAACUGACGCUGAGACGCGAAAGCGUGGGUAGCAAACAGG